rnacentral:rRNA from 1 species
GAAAAGAACUUUGAAGAGAGAGUUCAAGAGUGCGUGAAACCCUCCAGAGGUAAACGGUUGGAAUCAGGCCGUGGCUUCUGGGUUUUCGCUGGGGCAGCUGUCUGCUGAUUAGUCUUGGAGAAUGGAGCGCUUUCGGGUGCUUGGUCUCUGGGACCGGUCAAAUUGCAGGCGUUGUCACUAGUCUUCUCCCAGAUCGCUGCCGCAGCCGGUUGGGGUUGAAAAUUCCCUCUGGUUACCCGCAGGGAGCUGCGCCUUCAACGUUUCGGCGUUGUGUGGUGCAACCUGUUGGGGAUUCGCUGGGGGAAACCUGACCGCAGUUGACAGACUGAUAGGGCGUCGGCACUUGGUGCGGGCGAACUGGUGCGCGACGGGCCGAUCCGGCAGGGUGUUUGCCGCAGUGCAGCUCUCCGGGUUGGUUCGUGUCGGCGCUUGCCAGGUUCUCGCCUUCGGGCGCUCCUAUGCUUUGCGGUAUCUGUUGCCUCUGUUCCUACCGACCCGUCUUGAAACACGGACCAAGGAGUCUAACUUGUAUGCGAGUGAUCGAGUUUUUUUCAAAGCUCGAACGCGAAAUGAAUGUGAAGGUUCUCGUACGAGAGCUGACGGAGGAUCCCCGGUGUAAGCCCUCCUCGUGUGGACGGCCGAAGCGCACUCCGAAGCAUCGAAGGACU